rnacentral:pre_miRNA from 14 species
CUUCAGGGUCUGGGGUGGUCGCGAAGAUCCUGGACGAACCCCCAAAUGAAAGAUCCCUGAAGAGAGACCCUUACUCAAGUCUUGGGAAGUCGAGGACCCCAGACACAGAGAGACCA